rnacentral:rRNA from 1 species
UACGUAGGGUCCGAGCGUUGUCCGGAAUUAUUGGGCGUAAAGGGCUCGUAGGCGGUUUGUCGCGUCGGGAGUGAAACACGGGGCUUAACCCCGUGCCUGCUUCCGAUACGGGCAGACUAGAGGUAUGCAGGGGAGAACGGAAUUCCUGGUGUAGCGGUGAAAUGCGCAGAUAUCAGGAGGAACACCGGUGGCGAAGGCGGUUCUCUGGGCAUUACCUGACGCUGAGGAGCGAAAGCAUGGGGAGCGAACAGG